GAUGAACGCUAGCUACAGGCUUAACACAUGCAAGUCGAGGGGAAACGAUAGAGAAAGCUUGCUUUUUCUAGGCGUCGACCGGCGCACGGGUGAGUAACGCGUAUCCAACCUGCCCACCACUUGGGGAUAACCUUGCGAAAGUAAGACUAAUACCCAAUGACGUCUCUAGAAGACAUCUGAAAGAGAUUAAAGAUUUAUCGGUGAUGGAUGGGGAUGCGUCUGAUUAGCUUGUUGGCGGGGUAACGGCCCACCAAGGCGACGAUCAGUAGGGGUUCUGAGAGGAAGGUCCCCCCACAUUGGAACUGAGACACGGUCCAAACUCCUACGGGAGGCAGCAGUGAGGAAUAUUGGUCAAUGGACGAGAGUCUGAACCAGCCAAGUAGCGUGCAGGAUGACGGCCCUAUGGGUUGUAAACUGCUUUUAUAAGGGAAUAAAGUGAGUCUCGUGAGACUUUUUGCAUGUACCUUAUGAAUAAGGACCGGCUAAUUCCGUG
rnacentral:rRNA from 1 species